GUUUAGGGCACAGAACAGACUGAUGGACAGAUCAGUUCCUAACAUACACGUAGUUUACGUUUCAGCAUCAUCAGCUCUUCUCACCAAUCAGGAAGUAACCUCAUUUUAACACAACACAAGAAUCACGAUGCCAAGACCUUCUCUUCUCACUUUGAUAUUGGCCAGUUCUAUGACUUCUGUAACUGGAGAUUUUAGUAUCAGACUGAUGAAU